rnacentral:lncRNA from 1 species
UUUUAAUUCAUCUUUCAUUGCAAUUAGGGAUGAGAGUAUCAAGUGAGUUCGAUCUAGAAGUUCAAGGAGGAUCGGUUGAAAAUUGUUCUGCAUGUAUGAAAAUCGUCCACUUACUCUUACCCGAUCGACCGGAUACGCUAGCAUUCAGAUCGAACAACAUACGGUAAUAUUAUCUGAUCCAUCCAAACUUUAUCAGACGUCAAUGACUUUGUACUCACGAAUCUCGAGCGUCCACAAACUGACACCUCAGGGACAUGUCGACCUUCCAUAAUAAACCUACGAGUCUUUGAAUUUCUUACGGUGAUCAUUGAUCUAUCUACCUUGGUUCGGACGGAAGUGACCAUACUUGUAAUUUUCUAUUUCCUCAUCCAUACUAGUGAUGGUGUAGAUGCUGAUACACGACUUAAUUAGCAACAACCCUUACACACAAUCAAUACUAUAUGUAAUAAGAAUCAUC